AGACCCGAAACCCGGUGAUCUAGCCAUGGGCAGGUUGAAGGUUGGGUAACACUAACUGGAGGACCGAACCGACUAAUGUUGAAAAAUUAGCGGAUGACCUGUGGCUGGGGGUGAAAGGCCAAUCAAACCGGGAGAUAGCUGGUUCUCCCCGAAAGCUAUUUAGGUAGCGCCUCGUGAAUUCAUCUCCGGGGGUAGAGCACUGUUUCGGCUAGGGGGCCAUCCCGGCUUACCAACCCGAUGCAAACUGCGAAUACCGGAGAAUGUUAUCACGGGAGACACACGGCGGGUGCUAACGUCCGUCGUGAAGAGGGAAACAACCCAGACCGCCAGCUAAGGUCCCAAAGUCAUGGUUAAGUGGGAAACGAUGUGGGAAGGCCCAGACAGCCAGGAUGUUGGCUUAGAAGCAGCCAUCAUUUAAAGAAAGCGUAAUAGCUCACUGGUCGAGUCGGCCUGCGCGGAAGAUGUAACGGGGCUAAACCAUGCACCGAAGCUGCGGCAGCGACACUCAGGUGUUGUUGGGUAGGGGAGCGUUCUGUAAGCCUGCGAAGGUGGCCUGUGAGGGUUGCUGGAGGUAUCAGAAGUGCGAAUGCUGACAUAAGUAACGAUAAAGCGGGUGAAAAGCCCGCUCGCCGGAAGACCAAGGGUUCCUGUCCAACGUUAAUCGGGGCAGGGUGAGUCGACCCCUAAGGCGAGGCCGAAAGGCGUAGUCGAUGGGAAACGGGUUAAUAUUCCCGU
rnacentral:rRNA from 1 species